rnacentral:rRNA from 1 species
CGAGGGGGAACCCCUGCUCAGCAACGCCGCGUGAGCGAAGAAGGCCUUCGGGUCGAAAGCUCCCCCGUAGGGAAGAAACACCGGCCCCAACACAGUCCGGGAACGACGGUACCUGAAGAAUAAGCACCGGCCAACCACGCGCCAGCAGCCGCGGUAAUACGCAGGGUGCAAGCGCUAAUCGGAACCACUGGGCGUAAAGCGUGCGCAGGCGGUUAUACAAGACAGGCGUGAAAUCCCCGGGCUUAACCUGGGAAUGGCGCCUGUGACUGUAUAGCUAGAGUGUGUCAGAGGGGGGUAGAAUCCCACGUGUAGCAGUGAAAUGCGUAGAUAUGUGGAGGAAUACCAAUGGCGAAGGCAGCCCCCUGGGAUAACACUGACGCUCAUGCACGAAA